GUUCUUUCUUGUUUACGGUUUGAGUCCAUGGCUCGACUCUCUUCUUGUCGUAGUGGUCCCUGUCGUCCGGGAUGGCCUCCUCGAGUGCGUGGAGCUGCUGCUGGUCGUCGUCCUCCUGCAUCGUCUGGUGUUUCUGCUCAGUCUGUGGGUGUGCUGGAGAAUUCCAUCCCUUCUGUGCUGGUGGUGCGAUGCCGUACGUGGCCAUUCUGGGUCUCCGUCUUUGGUGUCCGAGUCUGUUCUUGGUGGUCAUUCCAUGCGACGGAGGGAGGAGAUUCGGCCGACGUUGUCCGCGACGUAUGCCUAUGUGUGCUCAGUCAGGUUCUCCGGCGAGGGUGAGGCCGAUGCCGCCGCGACGGAGUAUAGGAGGUGACCGAACUCCUCCUCGCGGGGCGGGGCAAAGGACUGGACUGGACGUGGGGGGAGCGUAGGACAAUCUCGACGGUGGAUAUCUUCCAAAGCUGUCGCCAUGCGUCGUGGUAGGACGCGGCGAUUAGGCCCUCUGCAUUGGCGUACGCCUUCUGCCGCAUAAAUGUCAGAGGCCUGGAGGACGCGAAUGACGCGUGAGGACGUGUCGUGGGUCUUCAUGAUCUCGUGUGUGCCGUCAGGGGACGACCGCAUCGAGCUCGCCGAGGUGAAGCAUCAUGAGCGGGUUGUGGCGUGAGCAUGGUGCGGGGGCUGCGACUACGACAGGCAUGCGGUGAGCCGGCGUUCUACUGGUGCAUCCACGACGAUGUCACUGUCGGCUUCCAAUCCCCGGUCAGCCCAAUCGAGUGCCCGUCCAAGAGAUCCCCAUCCCCGUCACCGUCCUGCCACCGCCAUCGCCUCCUCCAAGCCCUGGUCGCCGCCUGGCUUCCUUCUUCCGUCCCAGCCUGAUCUGAUGUCUCUCUGUUACUAGCUGCUAUUAAUUAGAAGAAAGUGUACAAAGAAAAGUGUCAUUGGACAUUGAUGGUUGGUUACGUGCGGGGUUUAUGCAAUGCAGGAGGAAUUAGGAGUAGACGACAAGCGAAGGCGACGACUUCAGAGUUCAGAGGAGUAGGUUCCGUGGAAACUUCCCUUCUGUUUUUUGUCCCGUGUUUUGCUGGGUGGGAUGUGUUGUGGUAAUGAUCUAUUAUGAUAGGUGGUGCGUGUGUCUGGCCAGGCAAUUCGGUCCUGACGAGUCCACAGAUCGGGGCAACAUCCCUCUGAAAUCCUAUUUCGUUUUCUCUUUGUCAA